AGCCAAACUUAAAAACCAGUCUCAGUUCGGAUUGUAGGCUGAAACUCGCCUACAUGAAGCUGGAGUUACUAGUAAUCGCGAAUCAGAAUGUCGCGGUGAAUACGUUCCCGGGUCUUGUACACACCGCCCGUCACACCAUGAGAGUUGGCAAUACCCGAAGUCCGUGAGCUAACCGCAAGGAGGCAGCGGCCGAAGGUAGGGUCAGCGAUUGGGGUGAAGUCGUAACAAGGUAGCCGUAGGAGAACCUGCGGCUGGAUCACCUCCUUUCUAAGGAA
rnacentral:rRNA from 1 species